CCCUUUAAGCUGGGAAGAAGUUGAUGACGUGAAUAGCGUCAUUGAUUGACGGUACCGGCAGAAUAAGCACCGGCAAACUCUGUGC
rnacentral:rRNA from 1 species